CACAUCAAUUAUGGCCCGUUAUGAACUACCAGGGUGCCUCAACCUCACGAGCCGCGUCGCAUCGGCUCGAACAACGUCGAAAAAUGAGUCCUCAAGACGGUGGGGUACUGGUGGGAGAGAGCCGAUCCAGAGCGAGCUUUGGCGGAGUAGAGCUUCCAGACGAGGCCUGGACUGGCGGAGCCGAUCUGGUCGAGGAGGUCAUAGUCUUGAAGGGGUUUGGCUCCGGUGACUUCGUGGACCGUGGUCUAUACGGUUUUUUCGAUGAUCGCGGCGGUCUUCGCUAGGGCUUGGGUUAGGGUUUUCAUGUUCAGAGACAUGGUAUGGUUAGGGUUGAUAAUGAUUGUGAUUGUUGAGCUUUUUUUGAUGAUCGUGGUUGGGCUUGGGUUAGGGUUUUCAAUCCGGCAGGCCGGUGUACCACAACAGAGGGAUCCGUUUUUCAGUGUGUUUGAGAACAGAGGGAUCCGUUUUUCAGGCCGGUGUACCACAACAGAGGGAUCCGUUUCAAUCCGGCAGGCCGGUGUACCACGUCGGCAUCGUCAGAUCUGGGAAUUGCAUUUCUACAAAUGCGAACUUUGGUUUCUGAAAUUAUGUCGUCGAUUUUGGUGUACCACGUCGGCAUCGUCUGAUUUGGAUUUUUCACAUAUUCAAGUUUUAAAAAUACAAAUCUGUGAACUUUAAAUCUAAAAAUGUGAACUUUUUACAAAAUCUGAAAUCAUGAGUUCGCAUAUUGUAUGAACAGACUGUAUUUUGAAUAUGCGAACAGUCGAUGCCGUAGAAAUGCGAACUUCAGAAAUGCAAACCACGUCGGCAUCGUCUGAUUUGGAUUUUUCACAGAUUGUAUGAACUUUGAUUUUGGUGUACCACGUCGGCAUCACCAGAUCUGGGAAUUGAAUUUCAUCUCAUGAUUUAGAAAUGUGAACUUGAAUAGAAAUUCGAAACCAUUUCAGUGAGUUUUGUUUUGCGUAUUCACGUCACGUACGAAACAACACUAUGACGUUAUCACGUUUCACUUCUACGCGUGUUACAAACCUACUAAAUUAGAAAAAGGUAUUAGUGUACUUUUCCGAUCAACGUGACACACAAACACUCGUUCACCUUCUCUAUACAACCCACGCCAAUCAACCAAUAAUACUAGUAGUGGCAAAAUAGUCAACAAACAAAUUAAGGGACCAUUCAGUCACCAAGAAAACAUUUAGGAUCUCAUGGAUUACAAGUCCACAAAAUGGGAUUUACUGGUCAAUUUCCCUUUAUUUUAUUAUAAAACUCUAUUCAUGAAUAUUUUUAUUCCAAAAAUUUGAAACAAUCAUCCAAAUUCUACCAAAAUCAAAAUUCCCAUAUUAAUUAUUUCCCCAACCCAACCCAAAUAAUUUUGUCCAAAAAUUUGAAACAAACAUCCAAAUUUUGUCAAAAUCAAAAUUCCUCCUUAAUUGUUUUUUGAGAAAUCCGUAGAUGCCUUCUUCAGCCCAAACGUUUUCAGAAAUUACUCUCUCUCUCUGUCGUCGCCGCUGCCCAUUGCCACCGCCGAGACCUGUUUUGCUUUCGCCGCCGCAUCCUCCGCCACGGAGAAAAGCUCUCAAAGCUGUUAACGAAGAUCUCUACAGGUUCUCGCCGGAGCUCCUCCGCGCCAAGCACCGAAGAGUGAGUUUAUUCCGCUGCCCUUUUCUUUUCCUCCUCGUUUUAGUUAGCUACAUGCCUCAAGGUCCUCAAUUUCUCCAUCUUAAUGUAGAAGUAAAGCUAUACCUCCUGCAUCCCUUCCUCCCUAGCGGUUGCAUUAGCAGCUCUACAAGUUCCACCUUGAGGUACCAUUCCAAGAAAAUGGCAUGGCUAACUAGAUCAUAUGGUUGGAGCCCCAUCUCAGAGUAAUACAAAAGUAGCUUUCUAUGAUGAAGCACUUGUGUGUAGGGCUACCAAAGAGGCAUAAAUUCCAUCAUUGAUAUUCAUCAAGACUCAGCAUCAAGAGCACUGGUAGCCUCAUCCAGUAGUAAUAUCCUUGGAGAUUUCACUAUAGCACGGGCAAUCGCCACUCGCUGCUUUUGCCCGCCAGACAACUGGAUCCCUCGCUCUCCAACGACCGUGUCAUACCCCUGCAAUUCAAAAUCUUGGAGAUCAAAUUAUUCAGUUGACUCACAUGUCACCUAAGUUUAGGUAGAAAACAAGCAAGUCAAUACUGGUUAUGCAUUAAUACAAUCCAGCCCAAAUUUGCCCAUUUAAUAAAUGGAUUUAAGUAGGUUAGGUUGAAUUGGGUAGGGGUUGGACAAAUCAACAUGUUUACUUUAUGAGGAGGUGCUGAUGGUGGUCGGGUGGAGGUCAUGGUAGUGGUGGAGAUGGAGGAGGUGGGGUAGUGGCGUCGUGGUGGUGGAGGAGGAGGUAGUGGUCAUAAAGGAAGAUGUAGUGGUGUGGUGCUGCUCCUUAGUGGUGGAGGUAGUGGUGGGGUGGUAGUGCUGCUAGUGGUGUUGGUGGUGGCUUCCUUGCUUCUUUUUUACCUGAACACAAUGGGUACCCAUUUCAACUCAUUGAAACUCAAUUUUAAAUGGGUACACAAGAUUAACCCAUUUAAACUCAUUUAUGGAUAUGGAUAUGGAUAUGGAUAGGUUUAAACAGAUAACAUUGUGCAGAUUUACAAUUUCAAGUUAAGUUUGCGAUCUCUAGAAGUUCAACAACUAGUUAGGAUUGAAGGUAUGUAGGGAUUUAACCUGUUGUAAACCACUAAUGAACUUGUGAGCAUUUGCCAA